UUAACAGGUGGUGAAAGACAUUUGGCUCUCUUUUUAAAGUUCUUUUCUCCUUUUUCUCCCUUUUACAGCUACUUGGGAUGCACCAAGAAACAUUUUCAUUAUCCAGAAGUGAAAUGCACCAUUAGAAGAUGCUGCAUGCAAGACAAGACUGUUGGCAUUUCACUUGAGCUCAGGUCAGUUCCCGCAUCCAGGCAGGGUGAGAGCAGCUUUUAUAGAAACUUUCAGAGUUGAUACUGAGACAGCUGACACCAGUGCACCCUGAGAUACCACUCAUCACAGUGCUUGCUGCACGACCAGAUUCUGCACAGGCUAUUCUUCAGCGAACUACAGCACCACUGUUCCCACUGUCAGCUGAAUGAAGCUGGUGCCCAUCUCAGCAGGAAGUGCUCAGACCCUGUGCAGAGGUUUGGAGAUGUGGAUAGGGAUGGGCAAGCAACUUCCAGGGUUGCCAAGGUUUCCAGCAUGCUAGUCACCUGGAGCCCAGUUCCCAAGUGGGGAUGGACCCACGGUCUCAGGAAGAGGGAAAUGUUAG